AACAACUCUUAGCAACGGAUAUCUU
rnacentral:rRNA from 1 species